rnacentral:tRNA from 1 species
AUUUCCUUAGUAUAACUAAUACAAAUGACUUCCAAUUACUUAACCUCGGUGAAACCCCGAGAGGAAAUA